UACGAAGGGGGCUAGCGUUGCUCGGAAUCACUGGGCGUAAAGCGCACGUAGGCGGAUUGCUAAGUCAGGGGUGAAAUCCUGGAGCUCAACUCCAGAACUGCCCUUGAUACUGGCGGUCUCGAGUCCGGGAGAGGUGAGUGGAACUGCGAGUGUAGAGGUGAAAUUCGUAGAUAUUCGCAAGAACACCAGUGGCGAAGGCGGCUCACUGGCCCGGUACUGACGCUCAGGUGCGAAAGCGUGGGGAGCAAACAGG
rnacentral:rRNA from 1 species